GUGGACUAAGUGUGGUGUCGUUUAAAUCACACCUGCAUAAAAGAAAAAGGACGAGAAGUUGUAAUUACACGUUGCAAAGGAAGAAAGUAAGGUUAAUGAAGCAAAAAAGGGUAUGCUACUCGAUAAAUAAAGGCUCUUCGACUGAUGGUCUUUUGUUAGAAGAUUCUUUCAGCUUUAGAUAUCUUCUUACCAUUGAUAUAUUGUUCUCUUUACUACCAACAGUUCGUCUAUAAAUUUCUAAGUCCUAUAGCGAUGCGUUUCUCAGAAUGCUAACCCGUCAACUAAUUCAACGAAUAAUUCAAUGCCUGACAUAAGUAUUUUGUUGAAUUCGAUACUAUUCAUAACACGCGUGAACAAACAAUCGUUAUUUAAUCCGAUGUUUUAAUGUAAAUCGGCAUAGAUCUACAAGCGAGAAUAAGAAAAGAGUAUAACAAACGUUAUGCACCGCACACAGUAAGCUAUACGAGGUCGCACUACUAUUACGAAGAGUGUCUUGAGUCUAAGAAUAGCGGGCACAAUGCCCAUGCGAUUAAGUGCUUAUUCGUAUUGUAUCACGCGUUAGCCAAAUUUCAUGUAUAAAUAUUUCUUAUCGUUUGUAUGAAUUAAACAUCCAAGACUUAAACAAUGUGAAUCUCUUGUUCUAUGUGAAUGAUUAUGAUAUAUUCAAUGAUUAAUUUUGAGAUCAACUGUUCCGUAAAACUUAGUAAAAGGAAAAAUCAGUUUACCUAACCGAAUUAUUUCUGUCAAUUACGAUUAGUAAAAGUGACUUAACUUUAAAAAUACAGCGCAGAAUAAUUUAAACGAUUUUAAUUAAAAAAUAAUAAUAAUUAUUCCGAAUUCACAGAGAUGACCUGCUAGCAGUCUAAAAAAUUGCCUCUUACUAUUGCAAUUGGUUUGAAUUAUUUCUAAAUUCAGCAAAGAACAAUGCUACGUUAAGGCAUCACAAGCCUGCAACUCAGUAUAAGUCGAAGUUUAACAACCUUACAACAGUUCAAUUCUACGAAGGAUUUGGAAAGAAACAAACCUAGUGUUGCUUCGGCCUGUCAUCCACUUUGGCAAAGAUAUUCCAACGUUGAGUAAUCUAUCUUCUUGUUUCGUGGAACCCAUUUUUAUAAUUCACUAAACUUCCCCUUUUUUCCAAAUUGAAUCCAAUAAAAAUAAGAUUUGGUUCCGUUUAAGUUUGCCUAUCUCUUUUUUUUUCUUUUAACAGAUCACACCUUGAAACAUUGGAUUCAAAAGAUAUCCGAAAGUUCAAAGUCGUAAUCUUUUAACAA